rnacentral:rRNA from 1 species
UACGUAGGGGGCAAGCGUUGUCCGGAAUUAUUGGGCGUAAAGCGCGCGCAGGCGGCCUUGUAAGUCUGUUGUUUAAACUCGGGGCUCAACCCCGAGUCGCAAUGGAAACUGCAAAGCUUGAGUACAGAAGAGGAAAGUGGAAUUCCACGUGUAGCGGUGAAAUGCGUAGAGAUGUGGAGGAACACCAGUGGCGAAGGCGACUUUCUGGGCUGUAACUGACGCUGAGGCGCGAAAGCGUGGGGAGCAAGCAGG